UUCCGGUUGAUCCUGCCAGAGGUCACUGCUAUCGGUGUUCGACUAAGCCAUGCGAGUCAAAUGUUCUUCGUGAACAUGGCGUACUGCUCAGUAACACGUGGAUAACCUGCCCUUAGGUCUGGCAUAACCCCGGGAAACUGGGGAUAAUUCCGGAUAGAUCAUCGAUGCUGGAAUGCGCUUUGAUCCAAAGCUAUUGUGCCUAAGGAUGGGUCUGCGGUCUAUCAGGUUGUAGUGGGUGUAAUGUACCUACUAGCCUACGACGGAUACGGGUUGUGGGAGCAAGAGCCCGGAGAUGGAUUCUGAGACAUGAAUCCAGGCCCUACGGGGCGCAGCAGGCGCGAAAACUUUACAAUGCGGGGAACCGCGAUAAGGGGACACCGAGUGCCAGCAUCCUAUGUUGGCUGUCCAUAUGUCUAAAUCACAUGUGUUAGCAAGGGCCGGGCAAGACCGGUGCCAGCCGCCGCGGUAACACCGGCGGCCCGAGUGGUGGCCACUAUUAUUGGGUCUAAAGGGUCCGUAGCCGGUUUGGUCAGUCUUCCGGGAAAUCUGACGGCUCAACCGUUAGGCUUUCGGGGGAUACUACCAGGCUUGGGACCGGGAGAGGUAAGAGGUACUACGGGGGUAGGAGUGAAAUCUUGUAAUCCCUGUGGGACCACCAGUGGCGAAGGCGUCUUACCAGAACGGGUCCGACGGUGAGGGACGAAAGCUGGGGGCACGAACCGGAUUAGAUACCCGGGUAGUCCCAGCUGUAAACUAUGCUCGCUAGGUGUCAGGGACGGUGCGACUGUUUCUGGUGCCGCAGGGAAGCCGUGAAGCGAGCCACCUGGGAAGUACGGUCGCAAGGCUGAAACUUAAAGGAAUUGGCGGGGGAGCACUACAACGGGUGGAGCCUGCGGUUUAAUUGGACUCAACGCCGGG
rnacentral:rRNA from 1 species